UCUUGCUGUCUCUGUGAUGGGCCUUAUUAGCACCCAGAGGAGCUGGUGUGAGCUGAUGGCAGUAACAUGUGUGCUGCUCUGGAAAUCUCAGCUUGAGGAGAAGGAGAUGGCAGAGCUGGCCCUGGGAUAAAUCUGCUGGAUGUCCAGGUAUCUGUACUCCCAGAGGCAAUGUGGUUUCCUCGGACAUUGGCAACCAUCUGACGGAAGGUUUUUGUCUUCCCACUGGCCAGCUGGCUUUGAAGGGGGAGGAGGAGCGGAGGAAGGACCCUCUUACCAAGAGAGCUGGUGAGCUGACGUCGAUAUGGCUGAUGACCUGGAGCUCUGUCUGCACACUCUGAUCAGGAGCUGCAGGCCUCUCCAGGAUGGCUUUCACAUAGUACUGAAUACUGCCAUACUUCCCAGUAAAAGAGGUCACCAGAGGUCUGAAACAAGCAGUCACAAAACCAUUACCCUUAAUUAAUAAUUCAGUUCCAAACGUGAGCACUUCCCGCGUACACGAACGUUUAACCAAUUUACAGCUCGUACUUUUAGGGCCUGGGGGAAACUGAAGCCAACAAGGCCUGGCUGUGGGGUCUGAUUAAGAGAAACAUAUAAAGCUGAUACUAAAAAAAACACAAGUCAAAUUACAUUAAGAUAAUGUUGCACUACAAGCAGCGUCCAGCACAAUCCCUUCAGGUUGGAUUAUUUAACUUACUCUUGAGGGAGCUGAAAGCUGAACGGAAA